GUGCUCACUUCAGCAGUACACACUCAAAAAUUGGAGUGGCACAAAGAUUUGCAUGGCCCUUGUGCAAAGAUGAAAUGCAAAUGUGGACUAGUCCAUAAUUUUU
ensembl:snRNA U6 U6 spliceosomal RNA